GACGAACGCUGGCGGCGUGCUUAACACAUGCAAGUCGAGCGGUAAGGCCCUUUCGGGGGUACACGAGCGGCGAACGGGUGAGUAACACGUGGGUGACCUGCCCUUAGCUCUGGGAUAAGCCUGGGAAACUGGGUCUAAUACCGGAUAUGACUCCAUAACGCAUGUUGUGGGGUGGAAAGCCUUGUGCGGCUAGGGAUGGGCCCGCGGCCUAUCAGCUUGUUGGUGGGGUGAUGGCCACCAAGGCGACGACGGGUAGCCGGCCUGAGAGGGCGACCGGCCACACUGGGACUGAGACACGGCCCAGACUCCUACGGGAAGGCAGCAGUGGGGAAUCUUGCGCAAUGGGCGAAAGCCUGACGCAGCGACGCCGCGU
rnacentral:rRNA from 1 species